GACGUAGGGUGCGAGCGUUGUCCGGAAUUAUUGGGCGUAAAGGGCUCGUAGGCGGUUUGUCGCGUCGGGAGUGAAAUCCACUGGCUUAACUGGUGGCUUGCUUUCGAUACGGGCAGACUGGAGGUAUGCAGGGGAGAACGGAAUUCCUGGUGUAGCGGUGAAAUGCGCAGAUAUCAGGAGGAACACCGGUGGCGAAGGCGGGUCUCUGGGCAGUAACUGACGCUGAGGAGCGAAAGCGUGGGGAGCGAACAGG
rnacentral:rRNA from 1 species